rnacentral:rRNA from 1 species
CGCGAUACAGGGUGACAGCCCCGUACACAAAAAUGCACAUGCUGUGAGCUCGAUGAGUAGGGCGGGACACGUGGUAUCCUGUCUGAAUAUGGGGGGACCAUCCUCCAAGGCUAAAUACUCCUGACUGACCGAUAGUGAACCAGUACCGUGAGGGAAAGGCGAAAAGAACCCCGGCGAGGGGAGUGAAAAAGAACCUGAAACCGUGUACGUACAAGCAGUGGGAGCACGCUUAGGCGUGUGACUGCGUACCUUUUGUAUAAUGGGUCAGCGACUUAUAUUCUGUAGCAAGGUUAACCGAAUAGGGGAGCCGAAGGGAAACCGAGUCUUAACUGGGCGUUAAGUUGCAGGGUAUAGACCCGAAACCCGGUGAUCUAGCCAUGGGCAGGUUGAAGGUUGGGUAACACUAACUGGAGGACCGAACCGACUAAUGUUGAAAAAUUAGCGGAUGACUUGUGGCUGGGGGUGAAAGGCCAAUCAAACCGGGAGAUAGCUGGUUCUCCCCGAAAGCUAUUUAGGUAGCGCCUCGUGAAUUCAUCUCCGGGGGUAGAGCACUGUUUCGGCAAGGGGGUCAUCCCGACUUACCAACCCGAUGCAAACUGCGAAUACCGGAGAAUGUUAUCACGGGAGACACACGGCGGGUGCUAACGUCCGUCGUGAAGAGGGAAACAACCCAGACCGCCAGCUAAGGUCCCAAAGUCAUGGUUAAGUGGGAAACGAUGUGGGAAGGCCCAGACAGCCAGGAUGUUGGCUUAGAAGCAGCCAUCAUUUAAAGAAAGCGUAAUAGCUCACUGGUCGAGUCGGCCUGCGCGGAAGAUGUAACGGGGCUAAACCAUGCACCGAAGCUGCGGCAGCGACGCUGAUGCGUUGUUGGGUAGGGGAGCGUUCUGUAAGCCUGUGAAGGUGUGCUGUGAGGCAUGCUGGAGGUAUCAGAAGUGCGAAUGCUGACAUAAGUAACGAUAAAGCGGGUGAAAAGCCCGCUCGCCGGAAGACCAAGGGUUCCUGUCCAACGUUAAUCGGGGCAGGGUGAGUCGACCCCUAAGGCGAGGCCGAAAGGCGUAGUCGAUGGGAAACAGGUUAAUAUUCCUGUACUUGGUGUUACUGCGAAGGGGGGACGGAGAAGGCUAUGUUGGCCGGGCGACGGUUGUCCCGGUUUAAGCGUGUAGGCUGGUUUUCCAGGCAAAUCCGGAAAAUCAAGGCUGAGGCGUGAUGACGAGGCACUACGGUGCUGAAGCAACAAAUGCCCUGCUUCCAGGAAAAGCCUCUAAGCAUCAGGUAACAUCAAAUCGUACCCCAAACCGACACAGGUGGUCAGGUAGAGAAUACCAAGGCGCUUGAGAGAACUCGGGUGAAGGAACUAGGCAAAAUGGUGCCGUAACUUCGGGAGAAGGCACGCUGAUAUGUAGGUGAAGCGACUUGCUCGUGGAGCUGAAAUCAGUCGAAGAUACCAGCUGGCUGCAACUGUUUAUUAAAAACACAGCACUGUGCAAACACGAAAGUGGACGUAUACGGUGUGACGCCUGCCCGGUGCCGGAAGGUUAAUUGAUGGGGUCAGCGCAAGCGAAGCUCUUGAUCGAAGCCCCGGUAAACGGUGGCCGUAACUAUAACGGUCCUAAGGUAGCGAAAUUCCUUGUCGGGUAAGUUCCGACCUGCACGAAUGGCGUAAUGAUGGCCAGGCUGUCUCCACCCGAGACUCAGUGAAAUUGAACUCGCUGUGAAGAUGC